GAUGAACGCUAGCGACAGGCCUAACACAUGCAAGUCGAGGGGCAUCGGGGUGUAGCAAUACGCUGCCGGCGACCGGCGGAUGGGUGAGUAACGCGUAUGCAACCUGCCUUCAGCAGGGGGAUAGCCCGUUGAAAGACGGAUUAAUACCCCGUAACACAGGGGCUCCGCAUGGAGAUUAUUGUUAAAAGGGAUGCUUCCUUCGGGGAGUAUUCUGGCUGAAGAUGGGCAUGCGUUCCAUUAGGUAGUUGGUUGAGGUAACGGCUCACCAAGCCUGCGAUGGAUAGGGGAACUGAGAGGUUGGUCCCCCAACUGGUACUGAGACACGGACCAGACUCCUACGGGAGCAGCAGUGAGGAAUCUUGGUCAAUGGACGGAAGUCUGAACCAGCCAUGUCGCGUGAAGGAGGACGGCCCUAAGGGUUGUAAACUUCUUUUGCUAGGGGAAUAAAGUAUUACCACGAGAUGGGAUAUUGCAAGUACGCUGCGAAUAAGGAUCGGCUAACUCCG
rnacentral:rRNA from 1 species